rnacentral:rRNA from 1 species
UGGGGAAUAUUGCACAAUGGGCGAAAGCCUGAUGCAGCAACGCCUCGUGAGUGAUGAAGGCCUUCGGGUUGUAAAGCUCUGUCUUCUGGGACGAUAAUGACGGUACCAGAGGAGGAAGCCACGGCUAACUACGUGCCAGCAGCCGCGGUAAUACGUAGGUGGCAAGCGUUGUCCGGAUUUACUGGGCGUAAAGGAUGCGUAGGCGGAUACUUAAGUCAGAUGUGAAAAUCCCGGGCUUAACUUGGGAACUGCAUUUGAAACUGGGUAUCUAGAGUGCGGGAGAGGAAAGUGGAAUUCCUAGUGUAGCGGUGAAAUGCGUAGAGAUUAGGAAGAACACCAGUGGCGAAGGCGACUUUCUGGACCGUAACUGACGCUGAGGCAUGAAAGCGUGGGGAGCA